GGGCAUAGCUCAGUGGUAGAGCACAACCUUGCCAAGGUUGGGGUCGCGGGUUCGAAUCUCGUUGCCC
rnacentral:tRNA from 1 species